rnacentral:rRNA from 1 species
GAACGCUUUCUACAGGCUUAACACAUGCAAGUCGAGGGGCAUCAGGAAGAAAGCUUGCUUUCUUUGCUGGCGACCGGCGCACGGGUGAGUAACACGUAUCCAACCUGCCCUUUACUCGGGGAUAGCCUUUCGAAAGAAAGAUUAAUACCCGAUAGCAUAAUGAUUCCGCAUGGUUUCAUUAUUAAAGGAUUCCGGUAAAGGAUGGGGAUGCGUUCCAUUAGGUUGUUGGUGAGGUAACGGCCCACCAAGCCUUCGAUGGAUAGGGGUUCUGAGAGGAAGGUCCCCCACAUUGGAACUGAGACACGGUCCAAACUCCUACGGGAGGCAGCAGUGAGGAAUAUUGGUCAAUGGGCGCUAGCCUGAACCAGCCAAGUAGCGUGAAGGAUGAAGGCUCUAUGGGUCGUAAACUUCUUUUAUAUAAGAAUAAAGUGCAGUAUGUAUACUGUUUUGUAUGUAUUAUAUGAAUAAGGAUCGGCUAACUCCGUGCCAGCAGCCGCGGUAAUACGGAGGAUCCGAGCGUUAUCCGGAUUUAUUGGGUUUAAAGGGAGCGUAGGUGGACUGGUAAGUCAGUUGUGAAAGUUUGCGGCUCAACCGUAAAAUUGCAGUUGAUACUGUCAGUCUUGAGUACAGUAGAGGUGGGCGGAAUUCGUGGUGUAGCGGUGAAAUGCUUAGAUAUCACGAAGAACUCCGAUUGCGAAGGCAGCUCACUGGACUGCAACUGACACUGAUGCUCGAAAGUGUGGGUAUCAAACAGGAUUAGAUACCCUGGUAGUCCACACAGUAAACGAUGAAUACUCGCUGUUUGCGAUAUACAGUAAGCGACCAAGCGAAAGCAUUAAGUAUUCCACCUGGGGAGUACGCCGGCAACGGUGAAACUCAAAGGAAUUGACGGGGGCCCGCACAAGCGGAGGAACAUGUGGUUUAAUUCGAUGAUACGCGAGGAACCUUACCCGGGCUUAAAUUGCAGUGGAAUGAUGUGGAAACAUGUCAGUGAGCAAUCACCGCUGUGAAGGUGCUGCAUGGUUGUCGUCAGCUCGUGCCGUGAGGUGUCGGCUUAAGUGCCAUAACGAGCGCAACCCUUAUCUUUAGUUACUAACAGGUUAUGCUGAGGACUCUAGAGAGACUGCCGUCGUAAGAUGUGAGGAAGGUGGGGAUGACGUCAAAUCAGCACGGCCCUUACGUCCGGGGCUACACACGUGUUACAAUGGGGGGUACAGAAGGCAGCUAGCGGGUGACCGUAUGCUAAUCCCAAAAUCCUCUCUCAGUUCGGAUCGAAGUCUGCAACCCGACUUCGUGAAGCUGGAUUCGCUAGUAAUCGCGCAUCAGCCACGGCGCGGUGAAUACGUUCCCGGGCCUUGUACACACCGCCCGUCAAGCCAUGGGAGCCGGGGGUACCUGAAGUACGUAACCGCAAGGAUCGUCCUAGGGUAAAACUGGUGACU